GAUUUCUGGCCUGGUACACCUGGCCCGCCACGGUUACGUGUGUGAGUGCCGGAGUGUUCCUGCCAUCCUUCUAGAAAACGUGCCUACCCUUCACUGGGCUGGGUACGCGAUCUAGAUCUUUUACUUUGAAAAAAUUAGAGUGUUUAAAGCAGGCUUAUGCUAUGAAUACAUUAGCAUGGAAUAAUAAUUUAGGACUUCGUUCCUAUUUUGUUGGUUUUUAGGGAUGAAGUAAUGAUUGAUAGGGAUAGUUGGGGGUGCUAGUAUUCAGUGGCCAGAGGUGAAAUUCUUGGAUUCACUGAAGACUAACUUAUGCGAAAGCAUU
rnacentral:rRNA from 2 species